rnacentral:RNase_P_RNA from 1 species
UUCACAGGCCGUUCUAUCGCUGCCGAUGUAAAAUCGGGAGAGGAAAGUCCGGGCAACACAGAGCAUCUCGCUUCCUAACGGGAAGGAUUUCGGUUUAACCGGGAGACGGAAAGUGCCACAGAAAAUAAACUACUCUGGUGCAAAUCGGAGAAAAGGUGAAAACGUGAGGUAAGAGCUCACGGCCUUGUAUGGCGACAUACAUUGCGGUAAACCCCGGGAGUUGAAAGGCCAAAUAAGUUCCGAACCAGGAGUUGCUCGCUCCUUAAAAGCGAAAGCUUUUUUUCGGAAUGGGUAGGCCGUUAGAUGGUGCCGGCAACGGUACUGCCAGAUAAAUGAUAGAAGUUCUGCUUAGGCGGAAAACAAAACCCGGCUUAUAAGCCUGUGAAACUU